rnacentral:misc_RNA from 1 species
UCCCGGUUGCCCGAGCAGUCUCGUGUGAAAAAUACAACACACGACAAGGGUUGCGCUCGUUGCCGGACUUAACCGAACAUCUCACGACACGAGCUGACGACGGCCAUGCAACACCUGUCACUGGGUUCCCGAAGGCACUCCACUGUUUCCAGCGGAUUCCCAGGAUGUCAAGGCCAGGUAAGGUUCUUCGCGUAGCUUCGAAUUAAACCACAUGCUCCACCGCUUGUGCGGGUCCCCGUCUAUUCCUUUGAGUUUUAGCCUUGCGGCCGUACUCCCCAGGCGGGACACUUAACGCGUUAGCUUCUCAGCCCAAAGGGUCGAUACUUCAGACUAAUAGUGUCCAUCGUUUACAGCGUGGACUAC